UGUUACUUUACUCAAAUUGCUUUUCGUUAACUACCGCGCCGCCGUUUUAAAUUAACUAAAACUAUAUUUCUGUCACUUAACAUUACACUGCCGUUAAACUUUGUACACUUAUCGCCUGCUUAAACUUAAAUCGUCCAAAAAACUUUCUUACUUAUUGCAUUUUCGUUUUUGCAUAGGAGUUCGUUUCUUAUUUUUACGCGGAUAAUUUUUUCUUCUUU